CCUACGGGUGGCAGCAGUAGGGAAUCUUCCACAAUGGGCGCAAGCCUGAUGGAGCAACACCGCGUGAGUGAAGAAGGGUUUCGGCUCGUAAAGCUCUGUUGUUGGAGAAGAACGUGCGUGAGAGUAACUGUUCACGCAGUGACGGUAUCCAACCAGAAAGUCACGGCUAACUACGUGCCAGCAGCCGCGGUAAUACGUAGGUGGCAAGCGUUAUCCGGAUUUAUUGGGCGUAAAGCGAGCGCAGGCGGUUGCUUAGGUCUGAUGUGAAAGCCCUCGGCUUAACCGAAGAAGUGCAUUGGAAACCGGGGGACUUGAGUGCAGAAGAGGACAGUGGAACUCCAUGUGUAGCGGUGGAAUGCGUAGAUAUCACGAAGAACUCCAAUUGCGAAGGCAGCAUACCGGCGCUCAACUGACGCUCAUGCACGAAAGUGUGGGUAUCGAACAGGAUUAGAUACCCUAGUAGUC
rnacentral:rRNA from 1 species